rnacentral:rRNA from 1 species
ACGGGGAGCACUACAACGGGUGGAGCCUGCGGUUUAAUUGGAUUCAACGCCGGAAAUACUCACCGGGGGCGACAGCAAUAUGAAGGUCAGGCUGAAGACCUUACCCGAUUAGCUGAGAGGUGGUGCGUGGCCGUCGUCAGUUCGUACUGUGAAGCAUCCUGUUAAGUCAGGCAACGAGCGAGACCCACGUCCACAGUUGCCAGCAUACCCUCCGGGGUGAUGGGUACACUGUGGAGACCGCCGCUGCUAAAGCGGAGGAAGGAGUGGGCAACGGUAGGUCAGUAUGCCCCGAAUCUCCCGGGCUACACGCGGGCUACAAUGGUUGGUACAAUGGGCAUCUACCCCGAAAGGGGAAGGAAAUCUCUUAAAGCCAAUCGUAGUUCGGAUUGAGGGCUGCAACUCGCCCUCAUGAAGCUGGAAUCCGUAGUAAUCGCGUUUCAACAGAACGCGGUGAAUGCGUCCCUGCUCCUU